rnacentral:lncRNA from 1 species
CUGAGAAUGGGAAAUUUUUUAAACACUUGACUCGUCAGACCCUUUGAGCUGAAUGAUGACAGAGUUCAAGAAAUCAUUUCCACUGUGAGGAAUGCAGUUGCCCAUUGAGGAAGCUUUGGGAAGGACAGCCAAAUACCAGUCAAAGUCAUCAAGGAUUCAGGCCAUCUUCAAAUAGCAACACCCUCAAAUAUGAACUCCUUAUGAAUGAACAUCCAAUACUGGAAGAAAGUAGUUUUGAA